GCGGACCUAGCUCAGUGGUAGAGCGCCGAACGAGACGUUCGGAGGUCGCGGGUUCGAUUCCCGUUGUCUGCUCCA
rnacentral:tRNA from 2 species